ensembl:snoRNA
AUUGCUUUGUGGCUCAGAAACAUGAUGACUGGGUUUUCAAGUUCAUGUGUGAGAUACACCUCCCUCCAACCUGGUUACAACAUCUGUACAUUACUAUCUGGCA